rnacentral:rRNA from 1 species
GUCAGCUCGUGUCGUGAGAUGUUGGGUUAAGUCCCGCAACCGAGCGCAACCCUUGUCAUUAGUUGCCAUCAUUUAGUUGGGCACUCUAAUGAGACUGCCGGUGACAAACCGGAGGAAGGUGGGGAUGACGUCAAGUCCUCAUGGCCCUUAUGGGUAGGGCUUCACACGUCAUACAAUGGUCGGUACAGAGGGUUGCCAAGCCGCGAGGUGGAGCCAAUCCCUUAAAGCCGAUCGUAGUCCGGAUCGUAGUCUGCAACUCGACUACGUGAAGUCGGAAUCGCUAGUAAUCGCAGAUCAGCAUGCUGCGGUGAAUACGUUCCCGGGUCUU